GUCUAUGGCCAUGCUACCCUGAACAAGCCCAAUGCUGUCUGAUCUCUGAAGCUAAGCAGGGUCCAGCAUGGUUAGUACUUGGAUGGAAGACCACCUAGGAAGACCAGGUACUGCAGGCU
rnacentral:rRNA from 1 species